rnacentral:rRNA from 1 species
AUUGAACGCUGGCGGCAGGCUUAACACAUGCAAGUCGAGCGGAGCGGCGGACGGGUGAGUAAUGCCUAGGAAUCUGCCUGGUAGUGGGGGAUAACGUCCGGAAACGGGCGCUAAUACCGCAUACUAUCAGAUCAGCCUAGGUCGGAUUAGCUAGUUGGUGGGGUAAAGCCCUACCAAGGCGACGAUCCGUAACUGGUCGGAGAGGAUGAUCAGUCACACUAGAACUGAGACACGGUCCAGACGCCUGCGGGAGGCAGAAGUGGGGAAUAUUGGAAAAUGGGCGAAAGCCUGAUGCAGCCAUGCCGCGUGGGUGAAGAAGGUCUUCGGAUUUUAAAGCACUUUAAGUUGGGAGGCGUUACCAACAGAAUAAGCACCGGCUAACUUCGUGCCAGCCGCCGCGAUAAUUC